AUCGUACCCCAAACCGACACAGGUGGUCAGGUAGAGAAUACCAAGGCGCUUGAGAGAACUCGGGUGAAGGAACUAGGCAAAAUGGUGCCGUAACUUCGGGAGAAGGCACGCUGAUAUGUAGGUGAAGCCCCUGCGGGCGGAGCUGAAAUCAGUCGAAGAUACCAGCUGGCUGCAACUGUUUAUUAAAAACACAGCACUGUGCAAACACGAAAGUGGACGUAUACGGUGUGACGCCUGCCCGGUGCCGGAAGGUUA
rnacentral:rRNA from 1 species